rnacentral:rRNA from 1 species
GUGCCAGCAGCCGCGGUACUACCGGCAGCCCGAGUGAUGGCCGAUCUUAUUGGGCCUAAAGCGUCCGUAGCUGGCUGCGCAAGUCCAUCGGGAAAUCCACCCGCCCAACGGGUGGCCGUCCGGUGGAAACUGCACGGCUUGGGACUGGAAGGCGCGACGGGUACGUCCGGGGUAGGAGUGAAAUCCCGUAAUCCUGGACGGACCGCCGAUGGCGAAAGCACGUCGCGAGAACGGAUCCGACAGUGAGGGACGAAAGCUAGGGUCUCGAACCGGAUUAGAAACCCUAGUAGUCC